UACGUAGGGUGCGAGCGUUGUCCGGAUUUAUUGGGCGUAAAGAGCUCGUAGGCGGUUUGUCGCGUCGGCCGUGAAAUCUCCACGCUUAACGUGGAGCGUGCGGUCGAUACGGGCAGACUUGAGUUCGGUAGGGGAGACUGGAAUUCCUGGUGUAGCGGUGAAAUGCGCAGAUAUCGGGAGGAACACCGGUGGCGAAGGCGGGUCUCUGGGCCGAUACUGACGCUGAGGAGCGAAAGCGUGGGGAGCGAACAGG
rnacentral:rRNA from 1 species